UAGGGAAUAUUGGUAAUGGGCGAAAGCCUGAACCAGCAACGCCGCGUGUGCGAUGAAGGCCUUCGGGUUGUAAAGCACUUUUGACCGGGACGAGGAAGGACGGUACCGGUGGAAUAAGCCUCGGCUAACUACGUGCCAGCAGCCGCGGUAAAACGUAGGAGGCGAGCGUUAUCCGGAUUUACUGGGUGUAAAGCGCGUGCAGGCGGUUAGCUAAGUUGGGUGUGAAAGCUCCUGGCUCAACUGGGAGAGGUCGCUCAAGAAUGGCUGACGCGAGGGUGGUAGGGGGAGGUGGAAUUGCGGGGGUAGUGGUGAAAU
rnacentral:rRNA from 1 species